UACCCGCAGCACAAGUGGUGGUCCUUAUUAUUGGGCCUAAAGCGUCCGUAGCUGGCCUGUUAGAUGCCUGGGUAAAUCGAUGCGCUCAACGUAUCGAACUCCGGGUAGACCGGCAGGCUUGGGACCGGGAGAGGCGUGAGCUACUCGAGGGGUAGGGGUAAAAUCCUGUAAUCCUUCGGGGAGGACCAGUGGCGAAGGCGUCACGCUAGAACGGCUCCGACAGUGAGGGACGAAGACCUGGGGCGCAAACCGG
rnacentral:rRNA from 1 species